AUAUGUCAUUAAUUAUUUACCCCACAAGCAUUACGCAGGUUCUAGGUGUAAAGCCAGUUAGCCAUGAAAGGGGAUUAGAGUACAAAUUAGAUUUCCUGAGUUUCUGCCUUCAGUUUCUGGCUGAUGGUGGCAAAGUAUUUAUACAGGAGUUAAACUAUAGAACAUUCAUAUCAUUCAGAACUUUUAAAGUGUAUGCAAAAUGGCAAUAUGCUUAAAUUAACCUUUACAGA